rnacentral:piRNA from 1 species
UGCUUGCUGUGUUUUAAAGGA